UCUGGCAUGAGGUUGUUGUAGAACAUUUGCACUGUUGAUUGCUCGGUAAUUUUCUCUGGACACUGAAUAUUGAGGCUCCUCCAUCUCAUUAUGAAGUCAUUAACACUUUCCCCUGGCUUUUGGGUAUUGAGCUAAGUCCAAGAUCGAGACCUUCUUCUUUGAACUGACAAACUGCGCCAAAAAUGCUUUUUGCAUGUCGUCCCAUGUCAGGAUAGAGCCUAGUGGUAGUUGUGUAUACCAAGUGAAAGCUGAUCCUUUUAGUGAUUGAACAAAUUGACGCACCAGGAGAACGUCAGACUGAG
rnacentral:lncRNA from 1 species